rnacentral:rRNA from 1 species
GACGAACGCUGGCGGCGUGCCUAAUACAUGCAAGUAGAACGCUGAAGAGAGGAGCUUGCUCUUCUUGGAUGAGUUGCGAACGGGUGAGUAACGCGUAGGUAACCUGCCUUGUAGCGGGGGAUAACUAUUGGAAACGAUAGCUAAUACCGCAUAACAAUGGAUGACACAUGUCAUUUAUUUGAAAGGGGCAAUUGCUCCACUACAAGAUGGACCUGCGUUGUAUUAGCUAGUAGGUGAGGUAAUGGCUCACCUAGGCGACGAUACAUAGCCGACCUGAGAGGGUGAUCGGCCACACUGGGACUGAGACACGGCCCAGACUCCUACGGGAGGCAGCAGUAGGGAAUCUUCGGCAAUGGGGGCAACCCUGACCGAGCAACGCCGCGUGAGGGAAGAAGGUUUUCGGAUCGUAAAGCUCGGUUGUAAGUCAAGAACGGGUGUGAGAGUGGAAAGUUCACACUGUGACGGUAGCUUACCAGAAAGGGACGGCUAACUACGUG